rnacentral:tRNA from 1 species
ACUCGGGUGGCGAAACUGGCAGACGUGUACGCUUGAGGGGCGUAUGUCGAAAGACGUGGGAGUUCGAAUCUCCUCCCGAGUA